GGGGGCGCAAUGGUUUCGACGGGAAGAUGUGGACAGCUGAGUAGCGAGCCGAGAUCCCACCUACUCGUUAAUCGGUGGACCCAAAUAACUGCCGACGAUUACGCGUUGGCCGCUGCGUAAUAUAAACGCAGCCAUCCGACUGUCUGUUGCCUGAGCAGACAGUGCCGGGUGUCACCCAAUCAGGCUGGUUGCUUGCCAUAUCCCGCGGGUAAGCAACGAGAUCUAGCGGGAUAGCCCUAAAGGAACCCGGCGUCAGGGGGUUCGGCAGGGUGAAUCAGCAAAUCUGACGCUACGCUCGUAGAAGCUCAGAUGGCUGCCUUCUCGGACGCGAGUUCGAUUCUCGCCGCCUCCACCA
rnacentral:tmRNA from 1 species